GUCUCAAAUCAGGUAGGAUCACCCGCUGAACUUAAGCAUAUCAAUAAGCGGAGGAAAAGAAACCAACAGGGAUUGCCCUAGUAACGGCGAGUGAAGCGGGAAGAGCUCAUGUUGUAAAUCUCCAGCUUGCUGGCGAAUUGUAGUCUAAAGGUGCGUGCUCAGUCGUGGUCCCGGGCUAAGUCUGUUGGAAAACAGCAUCAUGGACGGUGACAAUCCGGUUCUUGCCUGGGGUCCCGCGGCGUACGAGCCGUUUCCGACGAGUCGUGUUGCUUGGGAUUGCAGCACUAAGUGGGUGGUAAAUUCCAUCUAAAGCUAAAUAUUGGCGAGAGACCGAUAGCGCACAAGUAGAGUGAUCGAAAGAUGAAAAGCACUUUGGAAAGAGAGUUAAAAAGCACGUGAAAUUGUUGAAAGGGAAGCGCUUGCAAUCAGACUUG
rnacentral:rRNA from 1 species